AGUGAACGCUGGCGGUAGGCCUAACACAUGCAAGUCGAACGGCAGCACAGUAAGAGCUUGCUCUUACGGGUGGCGAGUGGCGGACGGGUGAGGAAUACAUCGGAAUCUACUUUUUCGUGGGGGAUAACGUAGGGAAACUUACGCUAAUACCGCAUACGACCUACGGGUGAAAGCAGGGGAUCUUCGGACCUUGCGCGAUUGAAUGAGCCGAUGUCGGAUUAGCUAGUUGGCGGGGUAAAGGCCCACCAAGGCGACGAUCCGUAGCUGGUCUGAGAGGAUGAUCAGCCAAACUGGAAAUGAGACACGGGCCAGAAGCCUACGGGAGGCAGCAGGGGGGAAUAUUGGACAAUGGGCGCAAGCCUGAUCCAGCCAUACCGCGUGGGUGAAGAAGGCCUUCGGGUUGUAAAGCCAUUUUGUUGGGAAAGAAAAGCAGCAGGUUAAUACCCCGCUGUUCUGACGGUACCCAAAGAAUAAGCACCGGCUAAAUUAGU
rnacentral:rRNA from 1 species